UACGAAGGGGGCUAGCGUUGCUCGGAUUUACUGGGCGUAAAGGGCGCGUAGGCGGAUAGUUAAGUUGGGGGUGAAAGCCCGGGGCUCAACCUCGGAAUUGCCUUCAAUACUGGCUGUCUUGAGUGUGAGAGAGGUGUGUGGAACUCCGAGUGUAGAGGUGAAAUUCGUAGAUAUUCGGAAGAACACCAGUGGCGAAGGCGACACACUGGCUCACUACUGACGCUGAGGCGCGAAAGCGUGGGGAGCAAACAGG
rnacentral:rRNA from 1 species